rnacentral:rRNA from 1 species
AAAUUGAAGAGUUUGAUCAUGGCUCAGAUUGAACGCUGGCGGCAGGCCUAACACAUGCAAGUCGAACGGUAACAGGAAGAAGCUUGCUUCUUUGCUGACGAGUGGCGGACUGGUGAGUAAUGGCUGGGAAACUGCCUGAUGGGGGGGGGUAACUACUGGAAACGGUAGGUAAUACCGCAUAACGGUGAAAGAACAAAGAGGGGGACCUUCGGGCCUCUUGCCAU